UUUUUGAUAGGUCUCGUUUCAAUUACCCUGCAAAAUUGGACGCAUGUUGCUAGAAUCAAAUCAAACAAAUUCCAUUAUCGCCGCUGUCUUUCUCCUUGCCGACGAAUCGCCUUUGAGCUAUGUAGGUUCUGAGUAAAUCGAAGCUCGAGAAGCUGAAGCUCUCGAUUCAGUCCUCAAAUCUAGGUUGGAAGAUUCGAGAGGACGAAGACGAGAGAGAAAAUGAGAAAGGUAGCGAGGGCGGUGGCGUGGCACUGACCGUUGAGGGCGGAGGAGACGGGGUGUGCGAGCCUACGCAAUGCUGUUGUGCUACCUGUUUGCCGCUUGCAGGUUGCACUGCUUGGACGGAGAGGUUCGAGGCGGCGAGGCCGUGGCCACAGGAGACCGGAGGAGGUGGAGGCGGUGGUGACGGCGAUCGGCGGACAACACACAGAGAGAGCGAGGGGUAGAUAAUGAGAAGAAAGGCAUAAAUUGUGUUUUAAUUUUUUUUCUUUUUUCUUUUACUAAUUUUAAAUGAUGGCAUUUUAAAUUAUGUAUAUUUUAGUUCUUUCAUUUUUUCUUUUCGGUCCACAUAGGCAUGCCACGUCGUAACUCCGGCUAUCCACGUCAUUUUCCGAUUGUCGGAAAAUUUUAAUAGGACACGGAUGAUAUUUUUGUGAUAGGUUGGGUAUCGUUUUGGUAUUAUCGUUAGGUUGGGACAUUUUUGAGAAUUCGCUAAAACGAUGGGACAAAAAGUGACCUCUAC
rnacentral:lncRNA from 1 species